UUAAGAUUCCCUUGCUUUUGUUGUAUAAACAGCUUUAGUAUUGAUAUUAGCAGUUUGAACUUGAGCAAUGUCAUUGUCAUAUGAUGUGUGAUUCACUCGUAGACAAUCAAGAGAGAAGUUACCCGGUUCAUACUUUUGGCCAUGUUAACCCAGAGACAGUAUUUCCAUUUAGCAGGCUGCCAAAGGAAAACAGAGACCAAAAGAGCUGGAAUUCAGUGAAGCUGGAUAUUAGCUUUAACCUGGGCUGGGAGAAAAGUGAAAGAACAACAAAGGAACUGUUUGGUGAAGAAAAUCAUACACACUCCCAGUUGCACUGUUAGCAAAUUUUCAGACAGCCUUUGGUAUUCUGUGUGACUGGCAUGGCAUUUGCAUUAGGGUGGUGCAGCAGUAAUCAGGGACAGAAGAUAGGGAGACGGUUACUGGAGAAAUGGGCAAAAUUUAAUUUUGAAAAUUGUGCAACCAGAAGUAACAUUAUAGCAGUGAAAAUAAGAAUUUGGAAGAUUCAGAGACCUCGCUACAACAAAUACUAUUUUGGAAAGGUUGAUGGAGUUGUUACAGAAAAGGUUUGCAAAAAUGAUUUCCUGAUAGAGAUUGAGAUCCUGCAACUUCUGUUAUUCCCAAAUCAAAGGAUAUUUUCCAUAACUUCAAGCUACAUUGAUUUUAUUAUUCCCUAGAAAACAUUUUCUGUUUUAGAUUCAUGACAAUGUAAGAGGUAACUGUGGAUUUAAACAAAUAUUUUGAAUCAUAGGUGUAAUUUCAGUGUUUCAAAGCAAAGCUGGGGACUUCCCCUGUUGUGGCAUGUUUCUUCUUCUGAUGCUGUGUCAAACCUCUUGGUGAUGAUAUUUAUCACUGGCUGAAAAUGACACUCCCAAAUAGCAUCCUCCUUUUCCUUUGAGGUAUAAAAAUAGGAGAGAAUAUCCCAGGAACUCAUCAAGAUAUCAAAAAAUGUGUUUUCUCUUUUGCUUGAGCCCUGGCAAAUGUCUUUUUGAACACUGCAUAAUUUGCUGUACAAUGUUUUUUAAAAAGCUAAAUGCAUACUUGUGGGAAGCGAAAUGAAUGAUUUGUGGCUUGUGCAGCAGAGGAGGAACUGAUGGCAAAAUCUGGGGUGUUUUUUCUAGGCUGAUUGCUCAGGGAUGUAUUAUAAUAUCUAAUCAGAAGUCAUUACCGGUUUAUGCAGCAUUAACUGAUAAAGCCUUCCAUACAUAGACCUUGUUGUGUCCCUCAGGGCAGGAUGGUUCUUCAACGGGCCACAUUCCUGUGAUCAACUGAUAGGGCUGUGUGCAUCAUUCACCUUCACCCACACAGAGGAUCUGCAAGGUGAGCAAACGUUUAACUACAUUGUGAGACAAGUCCAAAACUGCAUUUCCACUAAAGGAACAGCCUUGGUGUUGUGUUUUUUUUUUAUUAUUAUUAUUGCUGGGUUUUAUUUUUUUAGUUUUUGUUUGUUUUUAGAGGUUAUCCUUACCUUCUGGAAGGAAUACCCAGAGGCAACAUAUUGCGCAGAGGAGUCUCUUUUCUCAUGACAAUCAGACUUCCAGCACACCAGUAUUAAUCAGUAAGGAAGGACUUGAUUUUAGAAACUCCAUAGGCUAUACUGGGAUAUUGUGAUGGCAUCAGGUGGGAAUAGCUGUGAAUCAUGCCUACCACCUAGAGGAGCAUUCCCUGUAAACUCAG
ensembl:lncRNA